rnacentral:rRNA from 1 species
AGCGAACGCUGGCGGCAGGCUUAACACAUGCAAGUCGAACGCUCGUAGCAAUACGGGAGUGGCAGACGGGUGAGUAACGCGUGGGAAUAUGACUUUUGGUUCGGAAUAACUCAGGGAAACUUGAGCUAAUAUCGGAUAAGCCCGUGAGGGGAAAGAUUUAUCACCAAAAGAUUAGCCCGCGUCCGAUUAGCUAGUUGGUGAGGUAAUGGCUGACCAAGGCGACGAUCGGUAGCUGGUCUGAGAGGAUGAUCAGCCACAUUGGGACUGAGACACGGCCCAAACUACUACGGGAGGCAGCAGUGGGGAAUAUUGGACAAUGGGCGCAAGCCUGAUCCAGCCAUGCCGCGUGAGUGAUGAAGGCCUUAGGGUUGUAAAGCUCUUUUGUCCGGGAAGAUAAUGACGGUACCGGAAGAAUAAGCCCCGGCUAACUUCGUGCCAGCAGCCGCCGUAA